ACAGCCCAACCCGACUUUUUCAUUUGCUGCUUUACAAGAGAAGUGAUGCUCCCACCUACCCCACACUGAGCCCCAGCUGACCUCUGGAAGUACCUGGGCAGCUGCUCUGUUCUCCCGUGGGACAGCAUGUCCCAGGAGGGCAUGGCGAGCACCCAGGCACUGGGCUGGCACAGCAUCAUUGCACGGACUUCAGAGGGGCCACUCUUGAUUUAUACUCUUACCAGGGACGGCACACUUGGGCCUGCUUCUUAUUUUUAACAUUUAACCUAAGAAAGGAGCUGUGCCAGAGCAAGUCUCUCUGGGGUAAGAAUAGCAUCUGCCAUCUUAGGACACAACACAGUUGUCCAGCUCCUACAUGGCAGCACAUUGCGCCGAGAUAUAGAAAGCAACCUACCCGCCGAGGAAUGUCUUCGAGUGCUAUUAGUGGAAGCAUAUCAUCUGUGCAAACAGGCAUGACCCCAUGCCGGAGUCUUGCAAGAGCAGGGUUAUUUUGAGCUUUUGACAGUGAGGAUGAAGGGAGACAAAUGACGGCCUGAUCCUCCUGGCAUGGGCAACCUCCAAAGCUCUCUGAGGCCUUGUCUCCUCCUCUGGGAAUGACACUUGUGAAGGCUGAUGGGCAAUUUGGUGGAACCUCAGAGCCCAGGAGGCGGGGGCCAGGAGGGAGCUAUGAAUUUGCUAGGGACACAAGGCCAGGCCUCAGUCCCAUCAGCACUGUCCAGCUGUGCUUGUGGCAAGUCCUGCCUGAGGGUGUGCACCUGUCCCUGAGCUUAGGGCACGCAUCUGCCUGCUUUAUUUUCAACCAUAUGAAAGCUAGAGAGAUACGAGAGGGUGUGUAACCGCGUGCAAGUGAAACACACAGGAAGCUAGAGGAAGAAAUGGUUGACUUUGCAAAACAGAGUCUACAGAAGGCUACGACAGCACUGACAGAAGUUCUGCUCACCAAUGCUCGCUAGUGACGCUGGAAGCAGGCUGCACUUCCUUCUGAGAGCUGGUGAGGCUGCACUUGGGAGCCAGGGCCUGGAGUCCGCUGGGACAAGAAGCAAACCACAGCACAGCCAGAAUAGGCAGAAAGACAAAUCCCUGGAUACAGAUGGUCCUGCACAGACAUACAGUGUGGGGAAAGUCUUGGAGUGAUGACAUCCAGGCAUGCUGAAAACAGAUCCCGUCCCACUUACUGUAACAUCAGCGGAAGAGAUCUGGGCGGUAGAUUCUGGCCAAGGAGGUGACAUUCAGGAUGCCCUUUCUAUCACCCACCAAAGCAGCUGAGGGGCUCCUGUUACAGAGCAGACAGCACUGACAGAAGUUCUGCUCACCAAUGCUCGCUAGUGACGCUGGAAGCAGGCUGCACUUCCUUCUGAGAGCUGGUGAGGCUGCACUUGGGAGCCAGAUUCUGCACUCUUCAGCAAGGGCUUGAUCUUGAAGAACAGCUUCAUCCAGGGCCAGUGCUUGACGUUCAUGAAUGCACGAAUAUUGUACUGGAUGCAAAAGAUGGACUCUCUGAAAGGAAGCCCCUGCACCUGGCCUGUGUGCGAGUGAUGAGCUGUGCCAGUUUCUCAUCCCUCAUCUCUUCCAAGAGGCCUAUCAGCCCAGCUUUGAAGAACACCUUAGGGCUGGAGUCCACUGGGACCAGAAGGAAACCACGGCACAGUUAAAAGAGAAGAGGAAGACUGAAAGCCAUCUCUGGAUACAGACUGUCCUGCUCAGCGAUGUGGUGUCAGCAAGGCACACAUUCCCCAUGGAGGAGAAAGGAUUCAGUCAUGCUGAAAAUAGAUCCUCCUUGAGACAGAGAUCAGGCAGCUGCCUCCCUUUCUGCUAGCCCUUAAGAUGCAUAUUUUCUUCUCUUGGUCCCUGUGGUUAGCUGAGAGACAAGGAGUAAGAAGGUAUUUUUUAGCUAGGCAGCACAGCCAGACUGGAGAGGGGAAGUGGAAGUGCUUACAGACUGCUGUAUGUUGGCUAGUGAGAACCUCCCUCUCAUGCGUGUUCAGGGUUGUCAAGCUCAUGAACUGGAAACAAGAGAAUGUACCUGCAUGGCAGGAGGUUUAGCAGUAGGAAAAGGAAUCAUUUACUGUAGUCUGGUGGUGCCCAGUCUUUCACCCUGGGAACUACUCUCAGGCCCUCUGUUCCUCUACCUAGAACAGACUGCCCUCUGAGAGGAAGGACUUUGGGGUUAUGGUGGAUAUAAAUAUGAGUGCUCUCACUGCAAACAGGAUGAGCCAAGUACCAAGGUGUUAGAAGUGUGGUCAGCUGAUUGUAGGAAGCUAUUAUCCCUUUUUCUUGACAGUGGUGAGUCCUCAUCUGAAACGGUUUGUCCGGAUUUAGGCUCCCCAGUUCAAAAAGGAUGUGAACUAAUGGGAGAGGGUCCAGCAGAAGGCUAGCAAGAUGGGCAAGGGUCUGGAAAGCUUGUGCUAUGAAGAGAGUUUGAGGGCAUGUUUAGUCUGAGGAAAAAAGGCCUAAUGUACAUAAGGGGCAGUUACAAAGACAAUGAUGUGCCAAGCUUUUUUCAUGAGUAGCAGACAACGUAACAAGGAGCAAUGACCACAGAUUGUUGCUUGAAAGUCUCCAGUUAGACAUUAGGAAAAUACUUGACUAUUGGGUAAUGCAUAAAUGGCACAGGCUACCCAGAGAGGUUGUGAAGCCUCUGUCCAAAAAGCUUGGCUAAUCAAAGCCAUGACUGAUCUGACCAACAUUGGCAAUAGAUCUGCUUGAAGUGGGAGACUGAACUAAAGACCUCCAGAUGUUCCUUUGCAACAGCAUGUCUGUGGCUUUAAUGUAGAGGUUUCCUCUAUCCAUCCAAAGUAGACAAUUGCUCAAACCUAAGCAGAGAAGGUAUCUGCAGCUUCAUGUCUUGUGCUAAGAAACAGAAAUUUUCCUGGAGUCCUGAAAAAGCUUUUCUCGAGUAGACCACUGGGCAUGAAUCUUUGCUCUCACUGCAUUGUUGGAGACAGUUAAUUCCAUGCAACCUGUCAAAGCAUAUCCCUCCAGAACACCAGUUCCAGAAUACCGCUUCUGAAGUGUGUCAUCUGGAAAUGUCCUCAGCAGCAGUAGGUUUUGGUAGCUUUCAGUCCUUGAAGAACCACGUGACAUGUAGGCAGAGUCAGAGAACUGUGGAGCUCACUGGGGCAGCAAGGUGCAUCACAUCACAUCAGAAAGAAGUUCCAUCAGGUGGGGAGCAACAGGGCAGGCAGAGUACAGGAGGGUCCUCUUGUUACCACAGGCUGGACACAUUCACGGUGGUAACUGUAUGCUGGUAAGCAUUUCCCUGGCAUCAUUACAGGAAUUUAGGGAUCUGGUACAAACCUUUUUCAUUCUGAGCCACUAGGUACCAGUUGUCAGAAAAUAUGUGCAUGAUAUAGUGAACAGCAGCCUAACAUCACCACUGUGUGUUAUUUCUGACCAUAACAUAACAUUGAAGGAAAUAAGAUUACAUGAUGUCCCUGCCAGUGGCAGAGAGGUUGGACUACAUGAUCUUUAAAGGUCCCUUCCAACCCAAACCAUUCUGUGAUUCUGUGAAUGGCUGUACUGGGUGAGAUCAAAGGAACAUGUAGACUCUCACACCUGAGACAUUUCUCAUCAUCCCAAUCUCCCCAGAUACCCACCCUCCACAUGAUGUCCCACCCAUGUGGUGAAGCCUUCUAGAGCACAAACCACCUCAAGUUGGUGAAAAAUGUCAUGUGACUAGAGCAAAACUAAAUAAGGCACACGUGGGAAACCGUACUGAAAACAGCAAUGCAUUUUCUGUGUCACUGCCAAUAAUGGGAGACAGAAGCACAAGCGCAUUCCUACUAUCUCUAUAUGAAGCCUAAGAAGCCUUUGACCUUCUCAGGUCUCAGUGACUUACUUGUCCUCCUGCAUGGAGCCUGUAAUGUUCACAGGAUACAGCAGACAUCCCCUUUAACAAGGAUUCCCUUGCACACUGUGCUAGUGAGCCCUGGGAGGCUGGAGAGAGCUCAGAACUGCUCUGCUUCUGCUCCAGUAGGAAACCUAUUCCUGUGGGUCGAUGGCCUGGAGGGCAGGCUCAGGUGCCUACUCAAAUAGCAGUGUCUCCUGUGCCUGGGGACAGGUCACUUCAGCUGCUCCUCCUCAGGUGUUCAGGCUCCCUGAUGCCCCAACCAGGAAUUGGGAGGUGCUCAGGGCCACCGGAGGGACCAGGAAUGUCUGCAUGGAUGUGCUGCUCCUCUGAGCACACAUCAGAGCUAAGGUGAAAUGAAGUCAACCCUGCAUGUGGUAGGUAAUUACUGGUGAUUAUUCCGCCCUGCUUCAGCCUCAUCAGCUUGCUGGGUGACUAGUCUCCAGCAGUCACUGUAUUUACAGUCACUGUUAAUAUUCCAUAACAUAGAAUUUAUAUACAUCUGUUCAGUGUUUAUGUACACAUCAAUGUUUGGUGUGUUACCAACUGUCUCUAAACACUAUGUCACACAGGUGACAGACUCAGUGACAAGCAGCUUUGUUUGGACAUGCUUCUGAAGUUAGGUUCCUCUCAUUUAUUACGACCAAAUAUUACCUGAGAAAUUCAAAGGGUUUUGUCCAUCUACUCCAUCUGUGGUCUGCUGGAGCACCUCUCCUAUGAAGACAGGCUGAGAGAGUUGGGGUUGUUCAGCCUGGAGAAUAGAAGGCUCUGGGGAGACCUUAUAGCAGCCUUCCAGUACGUAAAAGGGGCCUGCAAGAAAGCUGGAGAGGGACUUUUUACAAGGGCGUGUAGUGAUAGGACAAGGGGUAAUGGCUUUAAACUGAAAGAGGGUAGAUUUAGGUUAGAUGUAGGGAAGAAAUUCUUCACUGUGAGGGUGGUGAGGCACUGGAACAGGUUGCCCAGAGAGGUUGUGGUUGCCCCAUACCUGGAAGUGUUCAAGGCCAGGUUGGAUGGGUCUUUGAGCAACCUGGUCUAGUGGAAGGUGCCCCUGCCCAUGGCAGGGGGCUUGGAACUCAAUGACCUUUAAGGUCCCUUCCAACGCAAACCAUUCUAUGAUCCUACAGCUGGGUGCCCACCUGACUUGAACACACCACCUCAAAAUGUCUGUGAAAUCCAUGGUGUGGCUGCUUUAGGGUAGCUGCAUGGUUAAAGGAAUCUAAUGAGAGCAGCAAAGGUACCCAAUGCUAUUGUGAAAGCAUGAACUGUGUGAUGGUGACUUUGAUGCUGUGUUCCUUCAAAGGCUUAGAUGGGAGCUUACCAACGCAGCUACCUUUCUGUACUGGAAUUCACUGCAGCCAAGCUUAAAUUUUACACCAUGCUUCUAUGAUGUUACUUAUUUUCAGAGGAAUUAGCAUAUAUUCCCUCAAAAUCUCCAGAGGAAAAUCAUCCUGCCUUGUCACUAGUACGAAAGAAACUGGUUGCACAGCAAACCCAUUCAGAACAAACAGCAAUUUCACCUUCUUUUCUUUUGCUUGACAAAACUCCCUCAGAUAGGUGCUAUAGCACUAGGAUGCUUCCUGAUUAAAGACAGUCUGAUGCUGUUUCAAGCUA